rnacentral:misc_RNA from 1 species
UGUACACACCGCCCGUCACACCAUGGAAGUUGGCCACGCCCGAAGUCGUUACCCUAACCGUAAGGAGGGGGGCGCCUAAGGCAGGGCUGAUGACUGGGGUGAAGUCGUAACAAGGUAGCCGUACCGGAAGGUGUGGCUGGAUCACCUCCUUUUAGGGAGACCUUACCCUUCUAACUCUGAAUUGAGUAAGAGUAGAUAGAGGUUAUCUCAAGGUCGGUCGAGGUUAUAUGUGUUAGCUUCCAAAUUUUGCUCUGGUUUUAAUUAACCAGUACGGGCUAUUAGCUCAGAUGGUUAGAGCGCACCCCUGAUAAGGGUGAGGUCCCUGGUUCGAGUCCAGGAUGGCCCACCUUUGCUAUCGCUAGGGGGUUUAGCUCAGUUGGUAGAGCGCCUGCUUUGCAAGCAGGAUGUCAGCGGUUCGAGUCCGCUAACCUCCACUGAUAAAUUUCAGCAACUCAUGAUGUCUAACAGAGACUUCAUAGCCUGCUGGAUAUUUUAUCCAGUCAGAACCUAGAAAACUGCAUAAAGAUUAGUCAGGUAAGUAGUAACCACUGAAGAUUGAGCAAUCAAUUCUUGUAGUGGCUUUACAGACAAUACCAAACAAAAAUACUUAGAAAUAAGUGGUCAAGCUACAAAGGGCUAAUGGUGGAUACCUAGGCACACAGAGGCGAAG